rnacentral:lncRNA from 1 species
GUUUGUUUAUUUUUUUAAUAAAAUUUAUUUUAAGUUUUUUUUUUAUCAGAAAAUUUAAAAUUGAAUUUUUGUCAUUAUUAAAUCUGAAUUGAAAUAUUAACCAAAGGAAUUAAAAAAUAAAUAAUCAAAACUAAAGCAUGCAAAGAAAAUUUUGGAGCAACUGAUGGGAAUGGAAGGAUAACCAGCAUUUAUUAUCACCAGAAUCAGUAGCGAAAUAAUCAUCUCCAAAUAUGAUGAUGAUCAUAAUUAUCAAAAAUUACCUAAAUGGUUUGAUCUAUGUAUAUAAAAUGCAAUAUUUGUUUAUCUGUUCUGCAUAGUCUCCUACAACAUUGGUCUAUUGGGAUCAAGUUUUUUAAAAUGAUUUCAUAUCACCUUACAGGUAAUAUAGGAUACACAAAAUCAAAAUCAUCCCAAAGGAGGGGAAUGUUUGAAUCAUGGUUCAUGUUUGAAUCAUUCUUUUUGUCUGUUUGUUCCAUUUAGAUUCUCACACUGUUUGACCUUUUGGCACCAAACUUUGCAAAGUCACUCCCUGCAGGUAACUUAGGGUACUCUGGAAGAAAAUCUCUCCAGUUAUGGAGCAUUUUGAGGUCAUAAUU